rnacentral:lncRNA from 1 species
CAUAAAAUUGAUUUACACUGCCUCAUUGUCCUCAAGAAAGUGUUUAUGAAAAAACAAUUAUCGUAUUGUGUCUCAAUACGACAUUAAAGGCUUUUGAAUUCGGAUUUUUACCCUGGAUAACCCAUAAUCCAUCAUGAUUCAAGAUGGCGUUGCUAUUGGUGAAUAAGUGAAUUAACAGGAAUCCAUUGUGGUUCCUUUGCCACGAGAUAUACGGCUGUAUACAGGCGAUCAUACGCAUUUUGAAGGUAAUCGUUAACAAUUGUUAAUUCAAAAUAAUGUCCAUAUUUCUGUUCAAUUUCUUCUGCCUUCAUUAUCAUAUCUUGCAGCUAUGUAACCUGGAGUGACAACAUAAGAUAUCUUAAGGGACGGACCAUUACAUUUUUGAGGGGGGGGGGG